rnacentral:misc_RNA from 1 species
AGCUGCCCAAAAAUCAGCUUGCUGCGGAUCAUAAGAUCAAAUUAUUUUUUAACGGGCAUUACGUGCAGGUGACACUUAUGUCUGAAAAAAGACGUACAAAAAACUAGUUCUGAUGACAGGAUGAUGGGUGUUUGUAAUUUUUUUUUUCUUUCGUCAUUCUUUUUGAAUCUUGUUUUAGUGGGUAAGGUAGCUUAUUGUUAUAGAUUACAUUUUGUGGUAAAAAAAUUGUGCAUCUUGUGGCACACUUAUUUUCCCCUUGUUCGGUGUCUCAUUUCUUCUUUCUUUGUGACGUACUAGAGACCUUGUUAGAGUUUCUUUGUAAUGUAGAAAGACAAUUAUAAAUGGCUUUUUAAGUAGAAUAUUUAAAAAAUUGCACUGUAGAAAACCUCGGUUCUUUCAGGUUCAAGAUGUACUCAUAUCACAUCAUAUCAGAUCAUAUGGGGGCAGGGACUGAAUCGUAUAUGUCACGUAUAUGGGCAUGUAUAUGUCAGACACUGAAGGUGGCUUCUGGUGAGAGGUUCACGUUGGAGGUUACUUCAGAAUUCCCCAUUUAGCAUCGUUCUGUUCUUAAAAUGUUUGGCCGUGAAGUCUGUUAUUUUAGGACCCACUGGUUGUAGAUUUUGUCGUCGCGUACAAGCUGAGCGUCCUCUUUUUGCACUAUAA